rnacentral:rRNA from 1 species
UUCGCCCUUAGAGUUUGAUCCUGGCUCAGGACGAACGCUGGCGGCGCGCCUAACACAUGCAAGUCGAACGAGCGAGAGAGAGCUUGCUUUCUCAAGCGAGUGGCGAACGGGUGAGUAACGCGUGAGGAACCUGCCUCAAAGAGGGGGACAACAGUUGGAAACGACUGCUAAUACCGCAUAAGCCCACGGUGCCGCAUGGCACAGAGGGAAAAGGAGCAAUCCGCUUUGAGAUGGCCUCGCGUCCGAUUAGCUAGUUGGUGAGGUAAUGGCCCACCAAGGCGACGAUCGGUAGCCGGACUGAGAGGUUGAACGGCCACAUUGGGACUGAGACACGGCCCAGACUCCUACGGGAGGCAGCAGUGGGGAAUAUUGCACAAUGGGGGAAACCCUGAUGCAGCGACGCCGCGUGGAGGAAGAAGGUCUUCGGAUUGUAAACUCCUGUUGUUGAGGAAGAUAAUGACGGUACUCAACAAGGAAGUGACGGCUAACUACGUGCCAGCAGCCGCGGUAAAACGUAGGUCACAAGCGUUGUCCGGAAUUACUGGGUGUAAAGGGAGCGCAGGCGGGAAGACAAGUUGGAAGUGAAAUCUAUGGGCUCAACCCAUAAACUGCUUUCAAAACUGUUUUUCUUGAGUAGUGCAGAGGUAGGCGGAAUUCCCGGUGUAGCGGUGGAAUGCGUAGAUAUCGGGAGGAACACCAGUGGCGAAGGCGGCCUACUGGGCACCAACUGACGCUGAGGCUCGAAAGUGUGGGUAGCAAACAGGAUUAGAUACCCUGGUAGUCCACACCGUAAACGAUGAUUACUAGGUGUUGGAGGAUUGACCCCUUCAGUGCCGCAGUUAACACAAUAAGUAAUCCACCUGGGGAGUACGACCGCAAGGUUGAAACUCAAAGGAAUUGACGGGGGCCCGCACAAGCAGUGGAGUAUGUGGUUUAAUUCGACGCAACGCGAAGAACCUUACCAAGUCUUGACAUCCUCUGACGAACGUAGAAAUACGUUUUCUCUUCGGAGCAGAGAGACAGGUGGUGCAUGGUUGUCGUCAGCUCGUGUCGUGAGAUGUUGGGUUAAGUCCCGCAACGAGCGCAACCCUUAUGGUCAGUUACUACGCAAGAGGACUCUGGCCAGACUGCCGUUGACAAAACGGAGGAAGGUGGGGAUGACGUCAAAUCAUCAUGCCCUUUAUGACUUGGGCUACACACGUACUACAAUGGCGUUAAACAAAGAGAAGCAAGACCGCGAGGUGGAGCAAAACUCAGAAACAACGUCCCAGUUCGGACUGCAGGCUGCAACUCGCCUGCACGAAGUCGGAAUUGCUAGUAAUCGCAGAUCAGCAUGCUGCGGUGAAUACGUUCCCGGGCCUUGCACACACCGCCCGUCA